rnacentral:pre_miRNA from 1 species
GAAGUACUCCCUCCGUCCCGAAAUUCUUGUCUUAAAUUUGUCUAAAUACGGAUGUAUCAAGUCACAUUUUAGUAUUAGAUACAUCCAUAUCUAGACAAAUCUAAGACAAGAAUUUUGGGACGGAGGGAGUACUAA